GGCUUGCGCGUGUUGUCAUUGGCUGCAUCGCGUGUCGUCAUCGGUCAUGACCUUAUGGGAGGAGCGCAGAGGGGCGGAGAAAGGAAGCCGGAAACACAUUUAAACCAACGUUUGAAGAGUUGCUUCGGUUUGUCAGUACUGUGAGAAAGCUUAAUCACCGAAGAAGCCUGGAUGCUAAAACAAGCUUUGGAGCUGCUUUUUUGUCGAACAGGAGUGAGGCUGUACGCUGAAUACACCUGUAGCGUGAAGGUGUCACCACUUUGUCCACGGCACCGUCUAUGAUCUCAGAGACAUCGUCCACGAUCAGAGACAUUGUCCGUGAUCACAGAGACUUUGUCCAUAAUCUCAGAGACACUGUCCGCGAUCACAGAGACCUGAGGAAGACGUUCUUUGAGACCAGGACAGAGUCCUCCAGGUGUCACCACUUCGUCCACGUCAUCGUCCAUGAUCAGAGAGACAUUGUUGAGGAUGAGGGAGACAUCGAGGGAGACAUCGUCAAAAAUGCUGUGUCACCACUUCGUCCACGUCAUCGUCCACGAUCGCAGAGACAUGGUCCAUGAUCGGAGAGACAUUGUUGAGGAUGAGGGAGACAUCGUCCACGAUCAGAGACAUUGUCUAUGAUCGCAGAGACUUUGUCAAAGAUGAGAGAGAUGUUGUCGUUGAUCAGAGACAUUGUCCCAUGCUUCGUAGAGACCUUGCGAUAGAAUCGGCGGAGACGGGGGUCACCGAUUUGACGGCACUGCCCGCGAUCAUGGAGACAUUGUCGAUGGUCACAGAGACACCGUCUAUGAUCUCAGAGACAUCGUCCACGGUCACAAAGACAUUGUCCAUGAUCACAGAGACUUUGUCCAUAAUCUCAGAGACAUUGUCCACGAUCACAGAGACGUAGUCCAUGAUCACAGAGAGUCUUUGUACAAUGAAGAAGUUCUUUGAGACCAGGACAGAGGCCUCCAGGUGUCACCACUUCGUCCACGUCAUCGUCCACGAUCGCAGAGACAUGGUCCAUGAUCGGAGAGACAUUGUUGAGGAUGAGGGAGACAUCGUCCACGAUCAGAGACAUUGUCUAUGAUCGCAGAGACUUUGUCAAAGAUGAGAGAGACGUUGUCCUUGAUCAGAGACAUUGUCCCAUGCUUCGUAGAGACCUUGCGAUAGAAUCGGCGGAGACGGGGGUCACCGAUUUGACGGCACUGCCCGCGAUCAUGGAGACAUUGUCGAUGGUUACAGAGACACCGUCUAUGAUCUCAGAGACAUCGUCCACGGUCACAAAGACAUUGUCCAUGAUCACAGAGACUUUGUCCAUAAUCUCAGAGACAUUGUCCGCGAUCACAGAGACGUAGUCCACGAUCACAGAGAGUCUUCGCACAAUGAAGAUAUUCUUUGAGACCAGGACAGAGGCCUCCAGGUGUCACCACUUCGUCCACGUCAUCGUCCACGAUCGCAGAGACAUGGUCCAUGAUCGGAGAGACAUUGUUGAGGAUGAGGGAGACAUCGUCCACGAUCAGAGACAUUGUCUAUGAUCGCAGAGACUUUGUCAAAGAUGAGAGAGACGUUGUCCUUGAUCAGAGACAUUGUCCCAUGCUUCGUAGAGACCUUGCGAUAGAAUCGGCGGAGACGGGGGUCACCGAUUUGACGGCACUGCCCGCGAUCAUGGAGACAUUGUCAAUGGUUACAGAGACACCGUCUAUGAUCUCAGAGACAUCGUCCACGGUCACAAAGACAUUGUCCAUGAUCACAGAGACUUUGUCCAUAAUCUCAGAGACAUUGUCCACGAUCACAGAGACGUAGUCCAUGAUCACAGAGAGUCUUCGCACAAUUAAGACGUUCUUUGAGACCAGGACAGAGGCCUCCAGGUGUCACCACUUCGUCCACGUCAUCGUCCACGAUCGCAGAGACAUGGUCCAUGAUCGGAGAGACAUUGUUGAGGAUGAGGGAGACAUCGUCCACGAUCAGAGACAUUGUCUAUGAUCGCAGAGACUUUGUCAAAGAUGAGAGAGACGUUGUCCUUGAUCAGAGACAUUGUCCCAUGCUUCGUAGAGACCUUGCGAUAGAAUCGGCGGAGACGGGGGUCACCGAUUUGACGGCACUGCCCGCGAUCAUGGAGACAUUGUCGAUGGUUACAGAGACACCGUCUAUGAUCUCAGAGACAUCGUCCACGGUCACAAAGACAUUGUCCAUGAUCACAGAGACUUUGUCCAUAAUCUCAGAGACAUUGUCCGCGAUCACAGAGAGUCUUCGCACAAUGAAGAUGUUCUUUGAGACCAGGACAGAGGCCUCCUGCAGGUGUCACCACUUUGUCCACGACAUUGUUCACGAUUGCCAAGACGUCGUCUGCAAUCACAGAGACAUGGUCCAUGAUUGGAGAGACGUGCAACAAUUGCAGUGACGGAGUUCCUCAUACAAUCAAGGAAUUCAGGACUGAGGCCUCCAGAUGAAUCCACAGAAACAACAGGAUCCACCAAAAUGGUGAUGGUAAGAAAAUAUUUUUAUUUGAUAUAUUUAAAAACAGAUCAAUAAAAUAUUUCUGAAACUUCACAUCAACAAACAAUUUAUUCAGUUAUUAAAAUAUGAUUAGGAAAGAAAGACACUUGAACUGUCUCUCAAAUGUCAUUGAAAUAAACAAAAACAAUGUAACAGAAGUAAUAAGAAGUAAUCUGCCACACAAAAAUUCGGAAUAAGGUAUUAGCAAUCUGUCUUAUCAGGAGUAAUGUAAUUUAAAAGUCAUUUGUUAUAUCAGAAAAAAAGAUGUAACAGUCAAAUGUAUCUUUAGUAUAAAAGUAAUUUCCAUUAAUAAGGGUCUAUCUGUAAAUUUAGAAGUAGUUUAGGCGUCAAAAAUGGUCAAAAAAUGGCAUAGUAUAAUGUGGUGUCCAAAACGAUCAAAAAAGUCAUAGUAUAACAAGACAUGAAAAAAUGGUAAAAACAUGUCAUAGUAUAGGCGUUAAAAAUGAUUUAAAAAAAAUGUAUAGUAUGUCGUCAAAAAA